AUUGAACGCUGGCGGCAGGCCUAACACAUGCAAGUCGAACGGUAACAGAAAGCAGCUUGCUGCUUUGCUGACGAGUGGCGGACGGGUGAGUAAUGUCUGGGAAACUGCCCGAUGGAGGGGGAUAACUACUGGAAACGGUAGCUAAUACCGCAUAACGUCGCAAGACCAAAGAGGGGGACCUUCGGGCCUCUUGCCAUCGGAUGUGCCCAGAUGGGAUUAGCUAGUAGGUGGGGUAAAGGCUCACCUAGGCGACGAUCCCUAGCUGGUCUGAGAGGAUGACCAGCCACACUGGAACUGAGACACGGUCCAGACUCCUACGGGAGGCAGCAGUGGGGAAUAUUGCACAAUGGGCGCAAGCCUGAUGCAGCCAUGCCGCGUGUAUGAAGAAGGCCUUCGGGUUGUAAAGUACUUUCAGCGGGGAGGAAGGGAGUAGAGUUAAUACCUUUGCUCAUUGACGUUACCCGCAGAAGAAGCACCGGCUAACUCCGUGCCAGCAGCCGCGGUAAUACGGAGGGUGCAAGCGUUAAUCGGAAUUACUGGGCGUAAAGCGCACGCAGGCGGUUUGUUAAGUCAGAUGUGAAAUCCCCGGGCUCAACCUGGGAACUGCAUCUGAUACUGGCAAGCUUGAGUCUCGUAGAGGGGGGUAGAAUUCCAGGUGUAGCGGUGAAAUGCGUAGAGAUCUGGAGGAAUACCGGUGGCGAAGGCGGCCCCCUGGACGAAGACUGACGCUCAGGUGCGAAAGCGUGGGGAUCAAACAGGAUUAGAUACCCUGGUAGUCCACGCCGUAAACGAUGUCGACUUGGAGGUUGUGCCCUUGAGGCGUGGCUUCCGGAGCUAACGCGUUAAGUCGACCGCCUGGGGAGUACGGCCGCAAGGUUAAAACUCAAAUGAAUUGACGGGGGCCCGCACAAGCGGUGGAGCAUGUGGUUUAAUUCGAUGCAACGCGAAGAACCUUACCUGGUCUUGACAUCCACGGAAGUUUUCAGAGAUGAGAAUGUGCCUUCGGGAACCGUGAGACAGGUGCUGCAUAGCUGUCGUCAGCUCGUGUUGUGAAAUGUUGGGUUAAGUCCCGCAACGAGCGCAACCCUUAUCCUUUGUUGCCAGCGGUCCGGCCGGGAACUCAAAGGAGACUGCCAGUGAUAAACUGGAGGAAGGUGGGGAUGACGUCAAGUCAUCAUGGCCCUUACGACCAGGGCUACACACGUGCUACAAUGGCGCAUACAAAGAGAAGCGACCUCGCGAGAGCAAGCGGACCUCAUAAAGUGCGUCGUAGUCCGGAUUGGAGUCUGCAACUCGACUCCAUGAAGUCGGAAUCGCUAGUAAUCGUGGAUCAGAAUGCCACGGUGAAUACCGUUCCCGGGCCU
rnacentral:rRNA from 1 species